rnacentral:lncRNA from 10 species
AGCAGCUUUCAGGAUGAGGUAAUUAAAAGAAACCUAUCAAUUUGAGAUUUUUUUUUACCGUGAGUAAAUAAUGUUGACAUACUGUUCAAAUAAACCCACAAUUUACUGCAAUCUGUUUUUAGAGAAACCCUCCACUUUAACCUCCAAAUAGGAAAAAACGAAGAGACUUUCCUCUUCUCAUUUAAUCAAGAACAUAUGUUCAAAGAUAAUACCGGAGGCUUAUUCUGGGAAGCGUUCUGCUCUUCCUCCGACAGCCACGCAGCGAGCUCACGAGGCAGCCUCCACACAUAAUGAAAGCAAACGCCACCAUAAAUCUCCCGCUCGGCGGAGGUCACUUCAGAAAAAUCGCCCGCUGCUCAGAUAAGCACCAGCUUUGCUGAGGAACAUGGAAGGGGGAAAACACCGACUGUGAUAAACACCAGCAGCUCCCUGCCUUCCACCUCCCUGCUGCAAAAUGGAUCAAUCUAUAAUAAGUAGUAGUUAUAUAUCAUAAGGCAGCAAUUCCUUUUAGUUGUUCCACUAUAAAAAAGCAUCCAGAUUUAGAACUUGACAGGAACCAGUAUCGCCUGCCCCCCAGAGCCGGCAGAAAGUCUGUGUAUGUCAUUCAGCCAGCAUGGAGUCUGGGUGUUUUAAAAGCUUUAAUUUGAAGGGGAUAAAAAACCUGGGCGUUAAGCAAUUUGGCUGUGGAUAUUUAAUGCAUCAGCCACGCUAUAGAAUUGGAGUCCUCUAUUUAAAAUGAGAAAUUGAAAACUUACACGCUCUGUAGGCAAGGUGUAAGUAAAUGUAGGAUGGUAAGCAGAAAUCAGCUGAGAACCUGCAGAAACGCCAUUAGAAGGACUAAUGGCAUGGUUCAGAAGUGGCCUUAAACAAAUGCUAGGGUGUCGUUUGUAAGUGUGUAAAACAGGUCUGGCUUUUAAUUAGCAGGAGCCAUAUCUCCCUGUGUUUAGGAAAAGGCAUUACUUCUCAAAGAGAAUAUCCUAACGGGGUCUACAUAGGGACCAGGAGGAAACAAUGGCCCGGGAGUUGAGAUUUGCCUCAAGGCACGUUCCUCCUCAAUGGCAGCGUGGAGAUUGGAACUCAGUCUCCUUAUCUCUAAUUUCCACUCUAACACACUUAUUGUAGGUAGAAAAAAUGCAUCCCAAAGAUGUCUACUUCUUACUCCCCAGAACCUGUACAUACAGCACCUUACAUGGCAAAAGUGACUUUGCAGAUACGAUUGAGUUAAGGGUUUUGAGAUAGGGAGAUUACCAGGUGGCCCAACGGAAUCACAAGGGGCCUGAUAAGUAUGAGAGGGAGCAGAAGAGUGAGGGUCAGAGUCAGAGAGAGACUGGAAGAUGCUAUACCACUGGCUUUGAAGAUGAAGGAGGGGGACACAAGCCAAGGAAUGCAGGCAGCCUCUAAAUGCAGGAAAAGGUUUACUCCAUUCAUUAGAGGAGAUGACAGAACUCUUGACAGCAAUGCUAUCAAGAAGGAAGUUUCAGUUUAAGAACCCCUCUGGGCUUGCAGAAUGACACACACUGCAGCCAAGAUGGUGCUACUAUAAGAAAUGGACUCCCCAGCACGUUAUUGAAGAAAAAAAAAACCUGCAGCAAUCAAAAAAAAAAGGGGGGACGGGGGCAAAUCUAUAACUUCAGCUGGAAGUGAUGAAAAUUAACUGUUAGAAGUAGAAGAGACCUUAUGCUACUAAAAUAAUAAUCAUCACUUCAAAUAUUUCCUGCUCUUGAAAUAUUUUGUCAGUGCCCUGUGAUAUCGGGAAAUAAAGUUACGUUCAUUUCCAGUUUUAAGAUGGAAAUGGGAGUUCACAUUAGCGUACAUACAUAUUUUGUGAAAUGGAAAAAUGAGACCCACUGUCAGCCACAAUAAUAAGUACAUUCCUCAAAAAAUGAAGACUUCUGGUUUGAUUUCAUUGACCUGUUAGGAAUGGUUAACUUUUUAAUUUUUUUUUUUUUUGAAUACAAAUUUUGAGUUAUCUCUCCCAAGGCCAUCAUGUCAUCAAUUUCUUAGGAAUAUAGAGAAAAGGUUGAACUAUAUGCCUAUGAAUCUGUGAAUAAAUUACUCUUCUUAUCUAUGGAAAUGUCCCCUACACUUAAAAAGUAUGGUCAGCAUUAUGUAAGCUAAAC